GACGAACGCUGGCGGCGUGCUUAACACAUGCAAGUCGAACGGAAAGGCCCUGCUUUUGUGGGGUGCUCGAGUGGCGAACGGGUGAGUAACACGUGAGUAACCUGCCCUUGACUUUGGGAUAACUUCAGGAAACUGGGGCUAAUACCGGAUAUGAGCUCCUGCUGCGUGGUGGGGGUUGGAAAGUUUCGGCGUUUGGGGAUGGACUCGCGGCUUAUCAGCUUGUUGGUGGGGUAGUGGAUUACCAAGGUUUUGACGGGUAGCCGGCCUGAGAGGGUGGACAGCCACAAUAGGACUGAGAUACGGCCCAGACUCCUACGGUCGGCAGCGGUGGGGAAUAUUGCACAAUGGGCGGAAGCCUGAUGCAGCAACGCCGCGUGCGGGAUGACGGCCUUCGGGUUGUAAACCGCUUUCGCCUGUGACGAAGCGUGAGUGACGGUAAUGGGUAAAGAAGCACCGGCUAACUACGUG
rnacentral:rRNA from 1 species